GGGUCGGUACCGAAGCGGUCAAACGGGGCAGACUGUAAAUCUGCUGGGCUCCGCCCUACGGAGGUUCAAAUCCUUCCCGGCCCACCA
rnacentral:tRNA from 1 species